UACGGAGGGUGCGAGCGUUGUUCGGAUUUAUUGGGCGUAAAGCGCGUGUAGGCGGCUUUGUAAGUCUGAUGUGAAAGCCCCGGGCUCAACCUGGGAAGUGCAUUGGAUACUGCAAGACUUGAAUACGGGAGAGGGUAGUGGAAUUCCUGGUGUAGGAGUGAAAUCCGUAGAUAUCAGGAGGAACACCGGUGGCGAAGGCGGCUGCCUGGACCGAUAUUGACGCUGAGACGCGAAAGCGUGGGUAGCAAACAGG
rnacentral:rRNA from 1 species